UCACUCAGGGCCUCGAAUUCUCUUUACAGCCUCUAGCAACAGGCCGUUAGAUAGACCGCCGACGAGCUUCUCUUCCCAGCAAUGAUUUUCUUACUUGUCUGAUAUAUUCAAGCCGAUUAUCUGACGCAUCCUGAAGAUGAGGUAUUGGAACGCACAAGAAGGCAAAAUGGUUUCCCCACGGUGAAUCGGUGCCGUUUUUGAUCAUCUCCUUCACUGAUUUGUAACUUCUGGUCAUCCUGGUAUUCAGCAAAACUAACGCCGUUGAAUUUGUUUUAGUUGACGGUGUCGGUUCUAAUUCUUGCACGUAAAGUCGACAUCCCAAUAAAAUCACUCCCGUUAUCACGUCGUUUACCGUCUGCAUGCAUGCAUUAAAAUGAA
rnacentral:lncRNA from 1 species